CCAUCAUAGCUCUCGAAUUGGGGGAGCUUGAAGUUUGACGGGAUUGGUUCCUGCAUGAUCAUUUGAGAGAAAGGAGGGUCAGUGUAGAUGUCCUCACCAUAAGCAGUGGGAGCGUGGUGGAGCUCUUCGAUCCGCCGGUUCAUCUCUUGGAAUCUCUGAUCCAGGAGGUCCUCUUGAUUACGGGCCUCGAGGGUCUUCUGGUGGAGCGGAGGCAGGGACUCUCCGGGGGUUGAAUCAU
rnacentral:lncRNA from 1 species